rnacentral:rRNA from 1 species
UCGAACGAGACCUUCGGGUCUAGUGGCGCACGGGUGCGUAACGCGUGGGAACCUGCCCUUAGGUUCGGAAUAACUCCCCGAAAGGGGUGCUAAUACCGAAUAAUGUCUUCGGACCAAAGAUUUACCGCCUUUGGAUGGGCCCGCGUUGGAUUAGCUAGUUGGUGGGGUAAAGGCCUACCAAGGCGACGAUCAGUAGCUGGUCUGAGAGGACGGCCAGCCACAAUGGCACUGAAACACGGGCCAU